UCCAAUAUGGUCUAGUGGCCAAGGUACCUGGCUUUCACCCAGGAGGCCCAGGUUCGAUUCCCGGUAUCGGAA
rnacentral:tRNA from 1 species